AUCCUGGCUCAGGAUGAACGCUAGCGGCAGGCUUAACACAUGCAAGUCGAGGGGUAGAGGAAGCUUGCUUCCUUGAGACCGGCGCACGGGUGCGUAACGCGUAUACAAUCUACUUUACAGAGGGAUAGCCCAGAGAAAUUUGGAUUAAUACCUCAUAGUAUUUUCGGAUCGCAUGAUUUGAUUAUUAAAGUUCCAACGGUAAAAGAUGAGUAUGCGUCCCAUUAGCUAGAUGGUAAGGUAACGGCUUACCAUGGCAAUGAUGGGCAGGGGUCCUGAGAGGGAGAUCCCCCACACUGGUACUGAGACACGGACCAGACUCCUACGGGAGGCAGCAGUGAGGAAUAUUGGACAAUGGGCGCAAGCCUGAUCCAGCCAUGCCGCGUGCAGGAAUAAGGUCCUAUGGAUUGUAAACUGCUUUUAUACAGGAAGAAACACACCCUCGUGAGGGUACUUGACGGUACUGUAUGAAUAAGGACCGGCUAACUCCGUG
rnacentral:rRNA from 1 species